rnacentral:rRNA from 1 species
UACGGGGGGAGCAAGCGUUGUUCGGAUUUACUGGGCGUAAAGGGCGCGUAGGCGGCCAGCACAAGUCAGUUGUGAAAUCUCCGAGCUUAACUCGGAAAGGUCAACUGAUACUGUGCGGCUAGAGUGCGGAAGGGGCAACUGGAAUUCUUGGUGUAGCGGUGAAAUGCGUAGAUAUCAAGUGGAACACUAGUGGCGAAGGCGAGUCCCUGGACGAUUUCUGACAUUGAGGCAUGAAAGCUAGGGGAGUAAACAGG